UGGGUUUGACAUGCACGUGAAAGCCUCAUGAAAGUGGGGCCCUUCUUCGGAACACUAGCACAGGUGCUGCAUGGCUGUCGUCAGCUCGUGUCGUGAGAUGUUGGGUUAAGUCCCGCAACGAGCGCAACCCUUGCCCCGUGUUACUAACAGGUCAUGCUGAGGACUCUCGGGGGACUGCCGGCGUCAAGCCGGAGGAAGGUGGGGAUGACGUCUUCUACG
rnacentral:misc_RNA from 1 species